rnacentral:rRNA from 1 species
GCUUAACUUGGGAAUUGCAUUCGAUACUGGGAAGCUAGAGUAUGGGAGAGGAUGGUAGAAUUCCAGGUGUAGCGGUGAAAUGCGUAGAGAUCUGGAGGAAUACCGAUGGCGAAGGCAGCCAUCUGGCCUAAUACUGACGCUGAGGUACGAAAGCAUGGGGAGCAAACAGGAUUAGAUACCCUGGUAGUCCAUGCCGUAAACGAUGUCUACUAGCCGUUGGGGCCUUUGAGGCUUUAGAGGCGCAGCUAACGCGAUAAGUAGACCGCCUGGGGAGUACGGUCGCAAGACUAAAACUCAAAUGAAUUGACGGGGGCCCGCACAAGCGGUGGAGCAUGUGGUUUAAUUCGAUGCAACGCGAAGAACCUUACCUGGUCUUGACAUAGUAAGAACUUUCCAGAGAUGGAUUGGUGCCUUCGGGAACUUACAUACAGGUGCUGCAUGGCUGUCGUCAGCUCGUGUCGUGAGAUGUUGGGUUAAGUCCCGCAACGAGCGCAACCCUUUUCCUUAUUUGCCAGCACUUCGGGUGGGAACUUUAAGGAUACUGCCAGUGACAAACUGGAGGAAGGCGGGGACGACGUCAAGUCAUCAUGGCCCUUACGACCAGGGCUACACACGUGCUACAAUGGUCGGUACAAAG